rnacentral:rRNA from 1 species
GGAUGAACGCUGGCGGCGUGCCUAAUCCAUGCAAGUCGAGCGAACGGACGAGAAGCUUGCUUCUCUGAUGUUAGCGGCGGACGGGUGAGUAACACGUGGAUAACCUACCUAUAAGACUGGGAUAACUUCGGGAAACCGGAGCUAAUACCGGAUGAUAUUUUGAACCGCAUGGUUCAAAAGUGAAAGACGGUCUUGCUGUCACUUAUAGAUGGAUCCGCGCUGCAUUAGCUAGUUGGUAAGGUAAUGGCUUACCAAGGCAACGAUGCAUAGCCGACCUGAGAGGGUGAUCGGCCACACUGGAACUGAGACACGGUCCAGACUCCUACGGGAGGCAGCAGUAGGGAAUCUUCCGCAAUGGGCGAAAGCCUGACGGAGCAACGCCGCGUGAGUGAUGAAGGUCUUCGGAUCGUAAAACUCUGUUAUUAGGGAAGAACAUAUGUGUAAGUAACUGUGCACAUCUUGACGGUACCUAAUCAGAAAGCCACGGCUAACUACGUG